rnacentral:rRNA from 1 species
GAUGAACGUUGGCGGCGUGCCUAACACAUGCAAGUCGAACGCUAGUAGCAAUAUUAGAGUGGCGCACGGGUGAGUAACACGUAGCUUAUCUACCUCCCAGCGCGGGAUAACGGUUACGAAGAACUGCUAAUAACCGCAUAAGCUCACGAGCUAUAGAGGCUGGUGAGAAAAGGACUUAGGUCACUGGGAGGCGGGGCGGGU